GACGAAGGAUGCAAGCGUUAUCCGGAUUCAUUGGGUUUAAAGGGAGCGUAGGCGGAUUGGUAAGUCAGUGGUGAAAUCUCGCAGCUUAACUGCGAAACUGCCAUUGAUACUGCUGAUCUAGAGUACAGUUGCCGUUGGCGGAAUAUGACAUGUAGUGGUGAAAUACUUAGAUAUGUCAUAGAACACCGAUUGCGAAGGCAGCUAACGAAGCUGUAACUGACGCUGAGGCUCGAAAGUGCGGGGAUCAAACAGG
rnacentral:rRNA from 2 species